CCCCAAAAUUUUAUUCCCUCCUAAAAGUUCCAUUCGCUCAAAUUUCAUUCCCCCUAAAGUAACCCUAACUUCUACAUUGCCCCCUUUCUUUACUCCUUACCCCAAUCGACUUACAAAUUAGUUACCAGUUUCGCCCUAGAAGACGACGGGUAGCAUAGGAACAGGGUACAAUCUACCAGAUGCAACUUUUUUUGUCGGAUGGUAGGGAUUUUCAAAUUGAUUACACCACUAAAGCCAUUGACAACAACGACACCAUCAGCGGAGUUAUUGGAAUAGAGAAGCAGAUUGCGUUCAAGAUGAUGUUGCCUGGAUCUAAUUGUAGAAUUUUAUUAGGUGCAUCGCCAUUCUAGAUGGUGUAGCUAGAUUAGCUUAAGAUGGGAGACAGAUUGUUGCAAGAGCCAAAUCUGAAGCCCACAACUAUGAAAGGUCAUAUCACCUUCCCGCUGUAUUUUACUUGCCCUCUUUUGUGUUACUCUCUCCUGAUAUAUAUUUAGGUCCUGGAGAGACCGAGAGGCCUUAAGCUGGGUUUGGAUAAACUUUGAAGAUGAUACGAAUGUAUAUAUAUGACAAUACUGAAUUACAUGUAUACUCUUAAACUUUGUUUGAGCUUAUAACAUGUUUGGUGAAGGUUGUUGGUUAAAAGCUACUUAUCUUGUGAAGCACGUGUGCAAACGGAAACCCUAAAUUCAUAAGUCCCUUGUUCGAAUCUGAUUAGCCUUAAAUUCAGCUCUUGAGCUUCUUUUGUCUCUUGUUUGAUUACAGUCCUUCGCUUUCUUUUGUCUUGUGUUUGAUUGCAGUCUCUUUACGUCACUGCCCAAUUACAGACUUCAUCAACAGCUCCUCUUAACGCUUUCUGGUCUUCUGUUCAAGCAACUCCCUAAAUUACAGAUUAAGUCAGAAUGCUCUUUCUACUCCAGCAUGCACCAUCCUCAGGUCUUAUAUCCCAAAAACUUCUGUCUCAAUUCUCAUUGGAUCUUGGUAAGAAAUUCGUAUUGACGGAGGUGGGUCGGUCGUUGUAUUGUAUUCUGAUGGGAGAGUAUACCUGGAUCGGUUGGGAAUAGAUAUCACUGUGAUGUGGUAGAUCAGAGACUUGCUCAACAUAUUCACAAAGGAAACGAAGAUGGGUUGCUCAUCAACAGUGUGGCUCCUUGCUCAAACCUAUGGGCUCUUAUAAUGGAUUCUUGCACUGGUAUCACCUCUCAAGUUUACCAACUCUCUCCCUCAUUUCUCAACAAGGAUUAGAUUAUGCAACAGUGGGAGAAAUCCUGCUAUAUUGGCGUGAUAGCAUGUGCGAACAACGAGAGUUCUUUGGUUAAGGGUACCCAAUUCAUUCAGCAGUGUUACAAAGUCAGCGAAUCAUUUUCUUUUUAGUGAAUAAAUAAUAAAUGGAGAGAAAGGUUCCAUAUCACUAUUAUGGCAACUGCGAGAACCAAAUGGGCAAUUGUUAUGUCCCGUGGCGCUGGAUUCUCUGACCAGGUAUGCAUAAACGAUGGGAUGCUGGGUAUAUGAUAACAUUAACUGCAUCUACAUCAAACCAAGCUGCUUUUGUUCUUAGCAUCCGAGAAGAAAACUUGCAGAUGAUACACAGGACACACUUCGCACUUCUGUGUAUCCUAGCACACAUGUCAAGGGCAAUGGCCGUGUAUGCUUCACAAAGUGGUGCCAACAUAAGGGUUAAACUCAUCUGGAUUAACGCUAGGUGUCCACGUCAGCCAGGAUGUACUGAAUGUGGCUACUAUGUGAUGAAGUUCAUGAAGGAGAUAGCUUACGAAGGAGUUGAAAUACUUGACAAUGAUAAUGUUGGGAAAGGAGUAGAGGAAUACUCGGCUGCGGAUAUGGAUGGCAUUCGGGAAGAUUGGUUGACUUAUGCGGUUAACUCUAUUUUUAAGUUAUAAAUCGUAUUUUAGGUGUUGAUAAUGUAUUGACAAACAAUUCUUUUUUUGUUAACGUUAAAAUAUUUGUAGUAUACUUAACAAA